GGGGAAAGACGAUAGGUCCACACUAGCGCCAAAACAUAAUAUGUACAAAGGAUGUUGGAAUGAUUCGGGAGAAAGCCGAUAGGUUCAACAAUAGCGCCAAAACAUAAUAUGUACAUAGGAUGUUGGAAUGUAAGAACAAUGGCAGAUAAAUCAAAAGCAACACAUGUAGGAAAGGAAAUGAAAAAUGAUUGUAUCAGUAAGAGUAGAUAGGAAAGGUACUGGUGAAACCAAGCUUCUAAGUGGAGACACAGUGAUCUAUGUCGGGGAUGAUGAACAUCAAGUCACGGGAGUAGCUAUAAUGAUGAAUGAAAGAGCUUGGAAAUCAUUGAUGGAAUGGACACUAAUCAACUACAGAAUGAUAAAAGCAAGAUACUUAUCAAAGUAUAAGAAGCUGACAGUUAUACAAACAUAUGCACCAAAUGAUGCUAGAGAGGAAGAGAAAGCAGAAUAUUUCUAACAACUACAAGA
rnacentral:lncRNA from 1 species